rnacentral:rRNA from 1 species
CCCUUAGAUGUCCGGGGCCGCACGCGCGCUACACUGAAGGAAUCAGCGUGGCUUUCUCCCUGACCCGAAAGGGUUGGGAAACCCGUUGAAUCUCCUUCGUGAUAGGGAUUGGGGCUUGAAAUUGUUCCCCAUGAACGAGGAAUUCCCAGUAAGCGCGAGUCAUAAGCUCGCGUUGAUUACGUCCCUGCCCUUUGUACACACCGCCCGUCGCUCCUACUGAUUGGUAUAUAAGGUAAAAAUCUCGGAGAAGUUGGGAUUUCAUGCAGGUUUACUUGCAUGUGCCUGGCCUCAAAGUUAUUUAAAUCUUCUGUACUAGAGGAAGGAGAAGUCGUAACA